CACGUGUGCAACCAACCCCGUACCGGGAGAUAACCCGCGGAAACGUGGACUAGCAUCCCAUGAGACUCGAGAGCCGCAUGGCUCUAGAUUUAAAAUUCCGGUGGUACGGGACGGGCACGCGCGACAUUAGGUAGUUGGCGGGGUAACGGCCCACCAAGCCGACGAUGUCUAGGGGUUCUGAGAGGAAGGUCCCCCACACUGGAACUGAGACACGGUCCAGACUCCUACGGGAGGCAGCAGUGAGGAAUAUUGGUCAAUGGGCGAGAGCCUGAACCAGCCAAGUCGCGUGAGGGAAGAAUGGUCUAUGGCCUGUAAACCUCUUUUGUCAGGGAAGAAUAAGGAUGACGAGUCAUUCGAUGCCAGUACUUGACGAAUAAGCAUCGGCUAACUCCGUGCCAGCAGCCGCGGUAAUACGGGGGAUGCGAGCGUUAUCCGGAUUUAUUGGGUUUAAAGGGCGCGUAGGCGGGACGGCAAGUCAGCGGUAAAAGACUGCAGCUAAACUGUAGCACGCCGUUGAAACUGUUGACCUCGAGACGAGACGAGGGAGGCGGAACAAGUGAAGUAGCGGUGAAAUGCAUAGAUAUCACUUGGAACCCCGAUAGCGAAGGCAGCUUCCCAGGCUCGUUCUGACGCUGAUGCGCGAGAGCGUGGGUAGCGAACAGGAUUAGAUACCCUGAUAGUCCACGCCGUAAACGAUGCUCACUGGAUCUUGGCGAUACACUGCCAGGGUUCAAGCGAAAGUAUUAAGUGAGCCACCUGGGGAGUACGUCGGCAACGUUGAAACUCAAAGGAAUUGACGGGGGCCCGCACAAGCGGAGGAACAUGUGGUUUAAUUCGAUGAUACGCGAGGAACCUUACCCGGGUUUAAAUGUAGAUUGCAUGAGGUGGAAACGCUUCUUCCCUUCGGGGCUAUUUACAAGGUGCUGCAUGGUUGUCGUCAGCUCGUGCCGUGAGGUGUCGGGUUAAGUCCCAUAACGAGCGCAACCCCUAUCGCCAGUUGCCAUCGGUUGAAGCCGGGCACUCUGUCGAGACUGCCACCGUAAGGUGCGAGGAAGGCGGGGAUGACGUCAAAUCAGCACGGCCCUUACACCCGGGGCGACACACGUGUUACAAUGGCCGGUACAGAGGGCAGCCACGGGGUGACCCGGAGCGAAUCUCUAAAGCCGGUCGUAGUUCGGACUGGAGUCUGCAACCCGACUCCACGAAGUUGGAUUCGCUAGUAAUCGCGCAUCAGC
rnacentral:rRNA from 1 species